rnacentral:rRNA from 1 species
GUGAGGAAUAUUGCGCAAUGGAGGCAACUCUGACGCAGCCAUGCCGCGUGCAGGAAGAAGGCGCUACGCGUUGUAAACUGCUUUUAACCGGGAAGAAACCCCAGGACGUGUCCUGGGUUGACGGUACCGGAGGGAUAAGCACCGGCUAACUUCGUGCCAGCAGCCGCGGUAAUACGAAGGGUGCAAGCGUUAUCCGGAUUCAUUGGGUUUAAAGGGUGCGUAGGCGGAGCGGUAAGUCAGUGGUGAAAUCCUGCAGCUUAACUGUAGACUUGCCAUUGGUACUGGCGCUCUUGAGUGCGCUUGAAGUGGGCGGAAUGUGCCGUGUAGCGGUGAAAUGCUUAGAUAUGGCACAGAACACCAAUUGCGAAGGCAGCUCACUAAGGCGAUACUGACGCUGAGGCACGAAAGCGUGGGGAUCGAACAGGAUUAGAUACCCGGGUAGUCC